rnacentral:rRNA from 1 species
UACGUAGGGCGCAAGCGUUUGUCCGGAAUUAUUGGGCGUAAAGAGCUCGUAGGCGGCUUGUCACGUCGGGUGUGAAAGCCCGGGGCUUAACCCCGGGUCUGCAUUCGAUACGGGCUAGCUAGAGUGUGGUAGGGGAGAUCGGAAUUCCUGGUGUAGCGGUGAAAUGCGCAGAUAUCAGGAGGAACACCGGUGGCGAAGGCGGUCUCCUGGGC